CGCGGCCACCGCCGCUCCCCCGGCUCCGGUUCUCCCUCGCCAGCCCGCCGAGAAGCCGCAUGAUGCAAUCGGAAGGGAAAGAAGACGUGGGGGAGAAAAAAAAAAAAUACAGCGGGGGAAAAGCCCUAAAAGCACCCUAAAAAUUACCGAUUCAAAAAAAAACCAAAAAACAAAAAAAAAAAAAAAACCACGGGUCCCAACCCAGCUUCCAGCGAAGAGCGGGGAAUCCUCCUUACCUGCAGGAGCCAGUGGAAGGUCUCUCCGAUUAAAGGGAAUCCCAUGGAGCCUUUGGGGAUUGGUAGCUUGCAGGUUUUGUCGCGGGUGGCAGCCCAGCGGAGCUGCCACAGCUGUUGGGACACGGCCAGCAGCAAAGUCAGUGACACCAAGCACGCGGCGAGGGUAGCCAGUGCCGAGACGAGAUCAAAACUUGCAAAAAGCAUAUUUGGAAAGAAGGGAGGAGGAGGAGGGUGGGGAGAGAAACAGCCCCUUGACAGGCACGGCGCUCGCACCCACACACACGCGCGGAGGGACGGCGAGUGCGGAGCGCCCGCUCGGCGCUGCUUGGGGGGUCCUGGGGCGAGGGGGGCCCCGGCUCGCCCCCCUCUGCGCUGGCAGAUCUCUCGCGACGCCGCUUAUUUGGGAGCCCCAGACUUUUCACCAGACUUCUGUAAGGAGGAGGAAGAGAAGAGAGAGGGAAGGAGGAGGAAGAAAAAAAAAAAAAAAAAAAAAAAAAAAAAAGGGAGGCAGGGCUGCUGGGCAAAGCCCCUCUGCACUGUUCGCUUUGAGGCAAAAGAAAGUCAAAUGUGUGUUUAUAUAGAGGCGGGGAAGCCGGGGCUGGGCCGGCCGCCAGCGCCGCUGCUCCCCCCGCGCCCCCACCCGCACUUCAGAGGCUCGGGGGGGCCGGGCCGGCCCGGGGGACGCGGCGCUGGAGCGUGCGAGCCCUGGCGCGGAGCCCGCGGCUCGGUCACGCCGCUCCGCUCGGCCUCAUCCUCCUCCUCCUCCUCCUCCUCCUGCUGCUGCUCUUUCUCCUCCUCUUCUCCUCCUCCUCCUCCUCCCGCCGCCGCCGCCGCUGCUGCUCCGCCGCCGGCCUGCGGAGAGACGAGCGCGGCUCAGCCCCGCCGGACCCCCGCCCGCGUUUAACCCUUGGCGAGGCGCUGCUGGCACCGCGAGGUUUCCCCCCGACAGCCCUCAGCCCCCCGCGGGGACCCCCCACCCCCACCGAGGGUCCCCCCGAUAUUUAAUCCGGGAUU
rnacentral:lncRNA from 1 species